GACGAACGCUGGCGGCGUGCUUAACACAUGCAAGUCGAACGGAAAGGCCCUGCUUUUGUGGGGUGCUCGAGUGGCGAACGGGUGAGUAACACGUGAGUAACCUGCCCUUGACUUUGGGGUAACUUCAGGAAACUGGGGCUAAUACCGGAUAGGAGCUCCUGCUGCAUGGUGGGGGUUGGAAAGUUUCGGCGGUUGGGGAUGGACUCGCGGCUUAUCAGCUUGUUGGUGGGGUAGUGGCUUACCAAGGCUUUGACGGGUAGCCGGCCUGAGAGGGUGACCGGCCACAAUGGGACUGAGAGACGGCCCAGACGCCUACGGGAGGCAGCAGUGGGGAAUAUUGCACAAUGGGCGGAAGCCUGAUGCAGCAACCCUGCGUGCGGGAUGACGGCUUUCGGGUUGUAAACCGCUUUCGCCUGUGACGAAGCGUGAGUGACGGUAAUGGGUAAAGAAGCACCGGCUAACUACGUG
rnacentral:rRNA from 1 species